rnacentral:rRNA from 1 species
CGGCGGACGGGUUAGUAACGCGUGGGAACAUACCCUUUACUACGGAAUAGCCUCGGGAAACUGAGAGUAAUACCGUAUGUGCCCUUCGGGGGAAAGAUUUAUCGGGAAAGGAUUGGCCCGCGUUAGAUUAGAUAGUUGGUGGGGUAAUGGCCUACCAAGUCUACGAUCUAUAGCUGGUUUUAGAGGAUGAUCAGCAACACUGGGACUGAGACACGGCCCAGACUCCUACGGGAGGCAGCAGUGGGGAAUCUUAGACAAUGGGCGCAAGCCUGAUCUAGCCAUGCCGCGUGUGUGAUGAAGGUCUUAGGAUCGUAAAGCACUUUCGCCAGGGAUGAUAAUGACAGUACCUGGUAAAGAAACCCCGGCUAACUCCGUGCCAGCAGCCGCGGUAAUACGGAGGGGGUUAGCGUUGUUCGGAAUUACUGGGCGUAAAGCGUACGUAGGCGGAUUGGAAAGUUGGGGGUGAAAUCCCAGGGCUCAACCCUGGAACUGCCUCCAAAACUAUCAGUCUAGAGUUCGAGAGAGGUGAGUGGAAUUCCAAGUGUAGAGGUGAAAUUCGUAGAUAUUUGGAGGAACACCAGUGGCGAAGGCGGCUCACUGGCUCGAUACUGACGCUGAGGUACGAAAGUGUGGGGAGCAAACAGGAUUAG